GGAUAAAUCGGCCCGUUCUUCUUCCACUUCGUCGAGUAAGCCACCACUCCCCGGCGGAUCAUUUUCUUAAGCGAUCUUUUCGACUCCUCCAUGUUCUCUAACGACUAGCGAUUCUUCUUGCCCGGGUAUAUCCUCCAUAGAAGCAUCGCGUCAACGCCGUCUCUUUCAAGUUCUUUCAAUACUCCCAACAGUUGGUCGUCUUCUAUUCAGUUUAUCUAUUCAAUUUCAGCCAGAUACGGUUGUAGCGAAGGAAGGUUAAUUUUCUGAGGCAAGAAGAGGCUCUAACGCUGCCGUGGAAGAGAAAAAAAAAGAUUUCUUCUGGUUCAGACCACCAUGCAAGUGGUUGUUCUUAAAGUGUCUCUUCACUGUCGCUGCAGAGGCUGUGAAGGCAAAGUGAAGAAACGUCUAUCUAGAAUGCAAGGGAGCUGGUGGACCAGAGGAGGAAGAUAAUUGAUGGCCGCCAUGCCUAAAACCUCUGCUUAAAGAGCAGUUCUUUGUUCACUGCAAGGUUCAUGUAGACUUUCACAAGGGUGAUUGCAAUCUUAGACUGCACCAACGGUGAGCUUUGCUCUCUUUGUCUUGCCCAUCACAAAGACCACCUCACCAUCCAAUCCAAAUGGGUUGAUCUUUAGGUCUAUAUAGGUCUAUAUAUCAAUAGCCUGCCACAAUGCUUGGAUCCAUAGCUAUUCCUUGCAGCACAAGGUGUAGGUUGUUUAUGUGAUCUAUGGAGCAUUAUGUGUUGCAGAGAGAGAGAGAGAGAGUUCCUGCUCAGAAAGGUGGAACUGCAGAAGCGCAAUGAGAUUGAGAAAAGAGCAGCAGCUGAUGUGGCUUCAGCCUUGGAAUCUUACGAAGCAGACAAUGGAGAUGGCUACAAUGCUCAUUACCUCAUGAAGAGCACAAUCAUGAGCGGUUGUAAAUGCAUCGAUGUCCAAUCUAAAACCGUCAAAUAAAAGCAUAGGGUCUUGAAAGGAACAUGAAAACGUAGCUUACUUAUUGUUGUUAUGUACUUUUUGUUUUCAAGGCACCAUUGCUCAGCAGAAGAAAACGAUCGUUAACAGAGUUUACUGAUAAGAAUUUAUAAGGCUCUAA